CAGCAGCCGGGUAAUACAGAGGGUGCGAGCGUUAAUCGGAUUUACUGGGCGUAAAGCGUGCGUAGGCGGCUUUUUAAGUCGGAUGUGAAAUCCCUGAGCUUAACUUAGGAAUUGCAUUCGAUACUGGGAAGCUAGAGUAUGGGAGAGGAUGGUAGAAUUCCAGGUGUAGCGGUGAAAUGCGUAGAGAUCUGGAGGAAUACCGAUGGCGAAGGCAGCCAUCUGGCCUAAUACUGACGCUGAGGUACGAAAGCAUGGGGAGCAAACAGGAUUAGAUACCCGAGUAGUCCCUGUCUCUUAUACA
rnacentral:rRNA from 1 species